UCCAGAUGAUGAUGAUGCUCCACAGAUUCA
rnacentral:piRNA from 1 species